CGUUCUCCUCGCCGCCUCCGCCAUCUUGGCGCCCCCCCACAUAAAUAGAAGCAGGCCCCGAGGCCGCGCACGCGCCCCGAGGCCGCCGACGCCGUCGUGCCGCCCCGCGUCGCGGCUGUUAUUGCUCAGCUUCCCCUCGACGUCAGCGCGACCGACGGCGCCCGCCCCCGGUUGCCAUGGCGGUGUGCACGCUGCCGCCGUCCGAGCCUUAAAGGGGCCGCUCGCACGCGCCGCGCGGGGCAAUGGCGGCUCAACCGCUGCCGUCCCCACCCCCCGCAUCGCGCCGGACCGCUGGCGCUCGGGGAACGCGCGCGGGGAAGGAGAGCGGCCGCCAUGAGGGGGGGCCCCGCUGAGGCGGGAAGGGAGAGGGGAGAGGAGGGGCGGCGCGGGACCGAGUGAGGUGCGAGCUGUGCUGUCCGUGGGGGCGGCCCUCACCGCCGACGGGCCUGGGCCUGGGCCUGCUUGGGGCCCGAAAUGGCUCCUUGAGCAGCUGAUCUCCUUAAGGUACUGCUCUAGCUGUGAGGUGUUCCUAUGAGGAAAGUGGGUUCUGCGGCCCCUUUCGCUGUGUGAGGUUCUGGCGGCAUUAGGUUGGUGAGAAGAGCUGCUCUCCGCACACACGAAGAGGGCAGGGUGUGAGCACUGCGCUUCCUCUUCCAGGAGCUGGAGCUGCCUGCAAGCAGGGUGCCUCAGUCUGCCACCACCUACCUGACAGACCUGGCGCUGCCAGGCAGGGGUAUGCAGACAAGGAAAGCACUGUGGAAUCUCAGGAAUCCAGGAGCAUCCCCAUAAUGUAUCUUCACCUGCAGUGGAGCAGGCAGGAGAAAAAAGUUACCAUCUUUUGUUCUUCCUUGGCUUCAGUGUUUGUGAUGCAGCUGUGUUCUCCUUUUAAUUUAACAUGUACUCUCGUUAUGCAAGAUGAGUGUAAUCUGUGUGUCUGCUUUGAAUAUUUAAAACAAACCGUUCUGUACAGCCCAUUGCCCCACUUUCCAAUCUGCCUUCAGCACAACUCUUGUAUGUUUUCAUCUCUCUGCAUAUGAAGUUGACUUGUCCUACUCUGUGCUGCAGAGAACAUUCACAAAACUGGAAUGGUGUUCCUGAAUGCUAUGGUUUCAUUAAAGGGAAUGGAGAAUGCUCCAGAAUCUUACUUGCAGCAGGAAGUCAUGGAGUGCCUGAAGUCCUUCUGAAAGGCUUUGUAGGACAUGUACUCCACAAGACAAUAAAGUUAACAAGUUACCUGGAACCAGUACUUAAAAUUCUGUUGAUUGUUGUGAAGAUACACUUGAAACCACAUCUUCAUCAGUUUUGUAAUGUGCUUUCUUUUAGAAAAAGAGAGCAAUAAUUGAUCUGCCCUUCGAUAGGGUUACAGAGGAAAAUAGAGCUAGUUCUUGGAAGCAGCAGACAGCCGUCUAUUCUAAAUUAAGACAUUGCAGACUUCUAUGGAAGUAGCAGCAUAUAUCACAUACAAGGUUUUUGUGGAUGUUUUCUGUUUUAUUUAUAUUCCCCUUUCUUUUUCCUCUCGUUGGGAGAUUAGCUAGAUAAAUAAAUCCUCAUUUAUCCUCACAUCUGAGCAUCUUGGAGCACAGCUCUUUUUUAUGAGGCUGAACAUUUGUUUAUAUUUCUAGACAAAUAGUGGUUCUGGAUGUUUGAAUUUGAAGUGAAGUUACCAAAGCAAGCUUGCUCUAGAUCUCAGUUCUCUAAAGAACCUUGGCAGCAGAUCCAAGCAUAGCAGGCAAUGGAAUAAAGUGUGAAUUGAUUGACUACAUCCAGAGACUCGUGUACAUAAAUGAGUAUUGACUUUGAUGCCUUGGAAAUGAUGGUGGCAACACUGGAAUAUUGCAAAAUUUCCACCAGGUGGUUCCUAUGAAUGCUCACACAGGGACAAAAAAGAACACUAUGGAGGUUUGUCAGGACCUAUUGAAAUAAUGAGGCUGAAGGUGACGUUUCCUGAAUUACAUUGUUACCUGUUAUGAGAUGUGGUGUCACCACUAUGAGCUGGAGUCAAAACAGUAUUCCGUGGAGAGGCACCACAUGAAUUUCCAUUAAAAAAUAAGUUCAAGAUGCAGCCCUCAGUGGGUAAAAUGACUUAAAUUGUCUUCUGGGAUGGAAAAGGGGUGAAUUUCCUGGAACCCAGACAAACCAUCAACUCUGACCACUACAUUGCAGUGCUAAGCUGAAGGCUUGAACUUCCAGAAUUAGGUCAGAGAAGAAGACAACCUUUCUCAUGCAAUACAGUAACACCAGGCCCCAUAUCACUUUCAAAACCAUGGAGCACAUUGCCACACCCACCAUAUAAUCUGGAUUUGGUGCCUUCUACCCUCCAUCUGUUUGGGCCAGUGAAAGGUGGACUGUGUGGGCAAUGUUUUUGCAGCAAUGGCACUGUCAUAGCAGCUGUGAUACAGUGGGUCACCUCCACUGAUGCAGAAUUUUUAUGAGCACAGCAUGCAGGCUCUUGUUCAUUACUGGUGAAAAUGCAUAGAUAAUAGUGGUGACUGUGUUGAAAAAUAAUGUUUUAUAUCUGAGAAUUUGCUCUAUCAAAUAGUGUUAUUGUGCUCUUUGUAUCUGUUGUUGUUUCCAUGAAAAAAAUAGGAGGCCUUACUUGUGGAACAACCUAUAUAAGUUUUCUUGCUCAAGGUUAUGAGACAUGGGGUGGCAGCUUUACAAACUUCUGAUGCUUAAGGUGAACACUAGAUUCCCCAGUGAAGUAGGAGCCAGACAGAGCUCAGCCUCUCAAAAUUCACCAAGGGACACCUCUGUUCAUUUGGGGCUUUGUUUUUGUGACAGUAUCUUCAUUUUUCACAGGUUGUUUCAUCACUAUCUCUCCCUGAUGUCUUGGUUUCUUAUAGUCCAACCAGGCAUGUUGUUGAUUGUUGUGGUCCUUUCACUGAAACCGCUGUCACUGCAGCUGCAACUUUCAUUGCUGUGUCAGGAGAUGCUGCAGCUGCAGAAUAAAGUUAACUAAUAAAAACAAAAGAAAAUAAAGACCAUUAACUCAGAGGAACUUCAGAGAAAACUGAAAGCUUAAAAAACUGAGUUUACAUGGAACAGCAGCAUUAACCACAUCAGGAAGAAAAAAGAGCAAGAGAAAACAGAAUGAACUGUAUCUUGGACAAGGAAGAGCAAACUCCUCCUGAAGAGAUGGUAAGAUUUUUGCCAAGCAAAAGCUGGGUGCAAAAACACCUACAUAUUUACAAAGAUUGAGAGGGAUUAUGUGCUCAGAGUUGUCUCAUCCCCCCUUCCCGCCUCCCCCAGAGUUAAAGAUGCUUGCAGAAUGGGAUACUUAUCUGCAGUGAAAAGCCUGUUCCAUCAGGCCAGCCCCCCUGGAGGCAGCGGAAGAUUACCAGCCUGGCUGAAACUCUGGAGUCAGGUAAUUGUUUUACCUUCUGUUAUUGUCUGCUGGUUCUGUUCUUUCAGUAGUAAUUAAAAACACACAAGUACCUAUGAGUCACUAUUUUAAGUAGUGCUACAGCACCCACCUGUAAAGUGAAUAAGAAAAAUUGGCUUUUCAUAGAAUUCUCAGCUGGAAUGGUGGUUCUACACUCAAAGCAGUAAUAAUACUGUUUAAUGAGGUAAAAGGCUCUGGAAGUAAUUCCCAGAAAUAGGAAAGCUAACCUGCCAUAGAUUUGCUCUUCUAAGUGCUGACCUAGGAUGAGACACAUACUCUCCCAGUGCCCAUAGAAGUGGACCCUGGCCUUGCCCACUCACCAGCAUUAUAUUUUCCUGUUUUUGUGAAGUAUUAAUAAUUUAUUAUUAUUAAAUGUUUCAUUUAUAAAAUAUUGUAAUAUAUAAAUAUCAUAAAUCAUUUUUUUUAAAAGUAUGGUCACUGUUCUGGAGACAACUAUCAAUUAGUGUUCACUUGCCCAAAGACCAGAAUGACACAUAUUCCAUGUAGACCACAAAGCAACCUUCUAGGAAUUGUUUAACAUAGGAAAUAGUAUUUGACUGUGACCUUGGAGGAUUUUUCUUCUUCUCUGGUUUCUCCUUUGGCUUUCAGACUGAUUUUACAAAAAUUCCAGCAUCCUCCCCACCUCUUUUGGUGCCUCUCAGCACUUUGGAAACUGCUUUGCCUUACAUCAAAUUCUCCAUCUAAAUAAGCGCACAUUAUCGCAGACAGCUGAGGAUGAUUGCAUAAACAAAUUACCACAUUUUUAACAUUCAUACAAGCCAGAAGUGUUCUUUGCAUGCGUGGUUCAGCAUUUUCAUACUUCCAUGAUUUUAUUUCCAAGCCAAAUUGCAUUCAAAAAGCAAAGCACAUAUUCAUCUGUGGGAAUUAACGACAUACCAAGCUUGCAGAUUCAACACAAAGCUGCUUUUGAGUUGCCACAGCUUUAAAAAUAGCAUCUGAAAAAUUACUUGUGAAAAGUGAUUUUCCAUACAUGAAUAAUUUAAAUGGACAAAUGAAAUUUUAUUGAAGUCUGUUUUCUUACCACCUCAAGCUGUAUUUUGAGAAGAUGUGUGAAAUGUAAAGACUUUUUAGAAUACUGGAAGAAUAAGAAGUUUAAGAACAGAGCGGUAGCUGCAUACCAGAAAUGCUUGUGAAAAGAAGCUACAUUUCAAAUGUCAUUUUCCUGGCCUUAACAGUAUUCCUUCUUACACUGAUAAGUAAUUAUAGAGGCAGAUGUAACUUAGCCUGAGUACUUAUCUGACUACUUUGUCACGGUUUUAAGAGAUUUUAAAUUUACUUCUCAGUGUCGUACUCAUUUGGAGUUAUCCAUAGGACUUGGCAUACUGCACAAAUCAGAACAAAAGCUGAACGUUCCCAGGAAGUAGGACAAGGCAAGCAGCGUUCAGAGGUGGGGUGAGGGGAGGAGGAGAUACGUGAAAAACUUUAUGACUGUGCUGUAAGUCACAUGAUAGCGGCUCAAUGGGAAUGGAAAACAUUUGAUAGGGAAGGAGAACAUGCAGAAAUGAAAAGUGGAUGCCGCAACAGGACCUUUUUGAGAACAGCUAACUGAACUGAGUGCAAAAUCAUGUAAAACUGGUUUCGGAAAUGAUUUUGUUCUGACCUGAAAACAGCUCUUCUGACUUUAAGUAGUGGGGAAAACCACAGUAGUUUUAUAUCACUAAAUUAUUCCCAGUCUGUUUAGCAAUGACUCAAGUUCAGAACUUGUGACCUCAUGAAUGAGUCAGACAAAUUUAUGAUUUAUCUUAUAGAAUACUAUUACUAUGAUAACCAUCAGUAACAGGAAUAUGGCAGAAAGUUUCAGACCUUGGUAUAACAGAUUUUGUAAUUUAACUUUUUCUGAAGUUUUCUUAGAAAAAGCUAUUAUGUAUAGAUUGAUGUUAAUAAGAAACAUUUACGUCAUGUUAAAUGAAUUAUUUGACUGGCCCAAAAAAGACAUUGUGCUUCAUCACAUAAUGGCUAACCACAUAAUGGCCUCAACCUGAGUGUGCACUUGCUGGUGAGAGGCAAGAUUACCAGCAACUUUGAAGCAGACAUGCGUAAUGCUCCCAACACUCUUAAAGAAACAAAAAAUCAGCUAAGAAAUUCAGAGCUGUAGCAUUACAAUGUGGAAUGUAACUGUUGCAACUGAAGCAUGCUUCUUUUCUGGAUGACUUAAGCCAUCUCUACGUUAUUACAUAUAUUACUAGAAUGUUGUUGCAUACCAUGCAAUUUUGUAUUGUGUGUGGUUUUUCACAGAACUGACCACUUGAAAGUUGCUUGCUGUGAUCAAGGAACAGAUGGUGAGGUCUGAGGCUCAUCCCUCUUCUGUAGUUAAGGGGCAGCUUAAGUGUGGUUUGAGGGCUCCAAAACAGGCAUAAAGCUCCUAGGUCCAUACAAGUCCAACUUGACAAUAAUGACAUAGGAACAAUCCCACUUUUUAGUUAAGAUAUAGCUGUGUCUGAGGAGUGGUCUGUCCAUCCUGUAUGUUAUUUUGACAGGAAAUAUGUUAAGUUCCAGUUAUUGAAGAGGUCGUUGUAAAAGCAAUUUAAAGACCAUGACUUACUUCAGUAUAUUUGUUGUUUUUAGUUAUCUUGAAGAAUAACAUGGAACAGUUAAGCACAAUAGUGUGCAAAUAUGAUCUGAAGAAGUUCUCUUCUUACUUGAAGAAUAAACUGCCUUGUCUCAAAAGUCAAAGUUUUUACAAAAGAUAGACUUUUAUUUUUGAAUCCACUAAUAGAUGGUAGUAUAAUUCAACAAUUAAGCAAGUCCUAUAGGGAAUUUUGGAUCUGGCCCUUGCCCAGAGAUGUCAAAUACUUGCUUUACCUGUUCAAAAUGAAAAUAAAACUUGAGUACCUACAAAACUCAGAAGGAAGAUUUUUUUUAUUUAUUUUUUUUUUUGUGUGUGUGUUUGAGUGCAGAGAAAACGAAUACUAUCUUUCAAAUUCUGCAAGCAGCCUUAACCAAUGGGACUCAGUAUGAAAGAACAUAAUCCACUGUCUCAUGCAGUGAUAAACUAAGUGCCACAACACCACUAAAAAAAAACACAACCCAACAUAAAAUUUGACAAAAUCAUUGCCAGUUUUCCAGGCUGGAAAAUAUCCUUAAAAGAGAUGACCUCUUUAAUAUGGUGAAGACUGGCUUGCAGUUUAUGCAUACAUAAAAGAGGGGGGAAAUAAAUACAGCCUCCAGCCUACAACUGGUCAGUUAAAGAUAGGGCUAAUCUUCCUACCUGCAGGCUAGCUAGACAUGCUAAUUAACUACGUGUUUCCUCAAGACACUUCUAUCUUUUUCAGUCGUUGCACUGAGAUUAUGUGUCCCUCCACUCAGUCACUUCAGCAGCUUCAAGGGUGGUCAUCCUAACUUAGAUAAAAACAUGCAUUUGUUAUAUUCAAGGAUACACAUAGAAAAACUUGUACAAACGUUAGUUCUUACCGACAACAUUGUUGGAAAAUAUUUUCCUGAAAAGUCAAGUUAUGAGAUUCAACACAAGGAUUAGCAGAUGAAAUUUACUACCGUGCAGUAUGAGGAUGUUGUGAUAUAACCCAACAGCAGCUCAGCAAAACAUGGCCCUGCACUCACUGCCUCCCAAGUGGGAGAACUGGAAACAAAAUAGAACUUGUGAGAUGAGAUAAAAGCUAUUUACUAAGACAGAAAAGGAAAACAGAAACAAAAAUGCAAUGAUAACUAUAUAUACAUAUAUAUUGCCACAGUGCAAUUAUUCUCUACCUGAAUACCCACACCUAGCAACAACACAACUACCCACCAAUCAACUCUCCACCGACUGAUGCCCAGCAACCCUCUAUUACUACACUGCAGUGAUACGAAGCACAGCUGUCCUCCCCUGUAGAAUACUUGGAUGUUAUUGGCAUAAAUGUUGAGGUAUUAUCAAGCUUAUGAUCAUAAUCUUCAUUUAUCAGGAACGCAUCAGUGCCCAACUGAAUGCAGUUACAAUAUUUUGUUUUUCUCUAUCAUUGUUAAUGUUUGAUUGCUAACGCUGUACCUUCUGUCUACUCUCUGUAUCAUAUUUUCCAUAAUGAGAUGAUUACUGAGAAUAUAAAGAAAUAGCUGUAUUUUCCACAUUCUUCCUUGGAAUUCUAAUGAUGCAACCACUUCUUUUUGACUUAAGUCACUCUUCAAGUACAUUAUCUGAAAUACAGCUGUUUUCAAUUUUAUGUUCACUUAUUACUGACCCAUUAAACUUACCAGUUUCCCUGA